ACAUUAGCGGAGGCAUGACACCUCCAGCCGAGGAUGAAGCCGGGGCCUUUUGUAACGCCGCCAAAGACGGGGAAAGGCGUCCCUUCAGAAGAGCGCGAGCUAAUUAUGCUAUCCAAGUGAUGGGUUUUCAUUCUUUAAUACGCCGCGGACGGUGUCCAACAAAAGAUAUGCCGCCACUGAUAUUUCAAGAACAGAAAUUGGAAAUGAAAUUGGGUCCAACUAGGAGCAGAAGAAGAAAAAAAAAAAAAAGAAGCAAUGUUUUGCUUCUUUACUUUUUUGUCUUGUUUUUUUUGUUUGUUUGUCUUAAUUCCCCAUAUAGGCCUUUGCCCUUAUUGAUUUAGAAUUUAAUCACCCAAUAUUACAUGACCUGUUGUUGAUGCUGAAGUUCUGUUUGUUUAUAUCUGGUGGAUUUGUCCAAAUAUAGCGUUUAUAUUUUCGAUCAAAAAUGGAGGACUGGAAGAUGCUCCUGGUGCGUUUCAACAUGAAUGAGGCAACUACUACAACUCCAUCCAAGUUAUGUAGGGGGCAGUAUGCUGAUGGACGGAAUAAAAUGGAAAAUUUCACUAA